rnacentral:rRNA from 1 species
AUUGAACGCUGGCGGCAGGCCUAACACAUGCAAGUCGAGCGGAUGAAGGGAGCUUGCUCCUGGUUUCCGCGGCGGACGGGUGAGUAAUGCCUAGGAAUCUGCCUGCCUUUGCUGUAUAACGUCCGGAAACGGGCGCUAAUACCGCCUACUUCCUGCGGGUGCAACAGGGGGAUCUUCGGACCUCACGCUCUCAGAUGAGCCUAGGUCGGAUUAGCUAGUUGGUGGGGUAAAGGCCUACCAAGGCGGCCAUCCGUGACUGGUCUGAGAGGAUGAUAAGUCACACUGGAACUGAGACACGGUCAAGGGGACUGCGGGAGGGAGCAGUGGGGAAUAUUGGGCAGUGGGCGGAAGCCUGGUCCAGCGAGGGCACGUGUGUGAAAAAGGUCUUCGGAGUGUAAAGAACGUUAAGUUGGGGGGAAGGGCAGUAAGUUGAGACCUUGCUGGAGUGACGUUAACAAGAGAAGAAGCACCGGCUAACUUCGUG